rnacentral:rRNA from 1 species
AGAGUUUGAUCCUGGCUCAGGAUGAACGCUGGCGGCGUGCUUAAUACAUGCAAGUCGAACGAGGCGCAAGCCUAGUGGCGACCGGGUGCGUAACACGUACUAGACCUGCCCUCAAGCGGGGGAUAACACUUGGAAACGAGUGCUAAUACCGCAUGGACUGCUGGGGAUUAGAAGACCAGCAGGAAACUUCCGGGGUUUGAGGAGGGUGGUGCGGCCCAUCAGGUAGUUGGUGAGGUAGUGGCUCACCAAGCCAAUGACGGGUAGGGGUUCUGAGAGGAAGGUCCCCCACACUGGAACUGACACACGGUCCAGACUCCUACGGGAGGCAGCAGUAAGGGAUUUUCCCCAAUGGGCGCAAGCCUGAGGGAGCAACGCCGCGCGGGGGACGACGGCCUUCGGGUUGUAAACUCCUUUUGGUGGGGACGAGAUAGGACGGUACCCACCGAAUAAGUCACGGCUAACUACGUGCCAGCCGCCGCGGUAAUUC